rnacentral:misc_RNA from 1 species
AAAGUCGUAACAAGGUUUCCGUAGGUGAACCUGCGGAAGGAUCAUUAAUGAGAGGGGCCCUUGGGCUCCGGGGGCUUCGGCCCCCAACUCAACCCCCUAUGUUGACGUACCUUUGUUGCUUUGGCGGGCUUUGGGGUCCGCCCCAAGGCGGCGUCGGGCUUCGUUGCCCGGGUCGUCCUGCGCCCGUCAGAGGCCCAUCAAACUCCGUUUCUAUCACCGUCGUCCGAGUAAAAACCACAAUAGCAAAAAACUUUCAACAACGGAUCUCUUGGCUCUG